GACAAUUUGGCCGAGUUGGUCUAAGGCGCCAGAUUAAGGUUCUGGUCUCUCCGGAGGCGUGGGUUCGAACCCCACAGUUGUCA
rnacentral:tRNA from 5 species